GACGUUAGCGACAGAAGAAGCACCGGCUAACUCCGUGCCAGCAGCCGCGGUAAUACGGAGGGUGCGAGCGUUAAUCGGAAUUACUGGGCGUAAAGCGCAUGCAGGUGGUUUGUUAAGUCAGAUGUGAAAGACCCGGGGCGUCAACCUCGGAAUAGCAUUUGAAACUAGGCAGACUAGAGUACUGUAGAGGGGGGUAGGAAUUUCAGGUGUAGCGGUGAAAUAGCGUAGAGAUCUGAAGGAAUACCGGUGGCGAAGGCGGCCCCCUCGGACAGAUACUGACACUCAGAUGCGAAAGCGUGGGGAGCAAACAGGAUUAGAUACCCUGGUAG
rnacentral:rRNA from 1 species